ACACAUGUAAAAUUUGUAAAGACAUAAUUUUCUCAAAUCUGAAAUUGUUUGUGCAUAUGGUAUAUACUGAUAUAUAAAAAGUUAUUAUAUCCAUGCUAUAUACUGAAUAUUUUUUUAUAUAUACAUAUAGACUAUAUGCUCAAUAUUUUGUCGUCAUCAAAAAGGGAGAGAUUAUUAUCCUUGAAAUGAUUUUGAUGAUUACAAAAUAUUAUAGCAUAUUUCGAUACUAAUAUUUUUCAAGAUGGCAAGGAAUAUUUUUUUAUAGAGAAAAGAUGCAAUUGAAAGACUCCGAACUCAAUUGAGGACUAUUUGAGUCAAGA
rnacentral:lncRNA from 1 species